GCCAGACUCCUACGGGAGGCAGCAGUGGGGGAUAUUGCACAAUGGGGGAAACCCUGAUGCAGCGACGCCGCGUGAGUGAAGAAGUAUUUCGGUAUGUAAAGCUCUAUCAGCAGGGAAGAAAAAAGACGGUACCUGACUAAGAAGCCCCGGCUAACUACGUGCCAGCAGCCGCGGUAAUACGUAGGGGGCAAGCGUUAUCCGGAUUUACUGGGUGUAAAGGGAGCGUAGACGGCAAUACAAGUCGGAAGUGAAAUACCCGGGCUCAACCUGGGAACUGCUUUGGAAACUGUAUGGCUGGAGUGCUGGAGAGGUAAGCGGAAUUCCUAGUGUAGCGGUGAAAUGCGUAGAUAUUAGGAGGAACACCAGUGGCGAAGGCGGCCUGCUGGACAGUAACUGACGUUGAGGCUCGAAAGCGUGGGGAGCAGACAGGAUUAGAUACCCUCGUAUU
rnacentral:rRNA from 1 species